GAUGAACGCUAGCGGCAGGCCUAAUACGUGCAAGUCGAACGGUGUCUUCGGACAUAGUGGCGCACGGGUGCGUAACACGUAUGCAACCUACCUUACAUUGGGGGAUAGCCUUUCGAACGGGAGAUUAAUACCGCAUAAGACAGUAGCUGGGCAUCCAGCAGCUGUUAAAGAUUUAUCGAUGUAAGCUGGGCAUGCGUCCAAUUAGACAGUUGGUGAGGUAACGGCUCACCAAGGCAAUGAUUGGUAGGGGAACUGAGAGGUCAAUCCCCCACACUGGCACUGAGAUACGGGCCAGGCUCCUACGGGAGGCAGCAGUAGGGAAUAUCGGGCAAUGGACGCAAGUCUGACCCAGCCAUGCCGCGUGCAGGAUGAAGGCGUUAUGCGUUGUAAACUGCUUUUAUACAGGAAGAAACGACUCUUGCGAGAGGCAUUGACGGUACUGUAUGAAUAAGCACCGGCUAACUCCGUGCCAGCCGCCGCGGUAACAC
rnacentral:rRNA from 1 species